AAUUAUACCCCUUCGGGGGUUUUUGGGGGGUUUAAAAAUUUCCGGGGGGGCCGGGAUGACCCCGCGGCCUUUUAAGUUAGUUGGUGAGGUAAUGGUUCACCAAGGCGACGACGGGUACCCGCCUGAGAGGGCGACCGGCCACACUGGGAAUGAGACACGGCCCAGAUUCUUACGGGAGGCAGCAGUGGGGAAUAUUGCACAAUGGGCGAAAGCCUGAUGCAGCGACGCCGCGUGAGGGAUGACGGCCUUCGGGUUGUAAACCUCUUUCAGCAGGGAAGAAGCGAAAGUGACGGUACCUGCAGAAGAAGCGCCGGCUAACUACGUGCCAGCAGCCGCGGUAAUACGUAGGGCGCCAGCGUUGUCCGGAAUUAUUGGGCGUAAAGAGCUCGUAGGCGGCUUGUCACGUCGGUUGUGAAAGCCCGGGGCUUAACCCCGGGUCUGCAGUCGAUACGGGCAGGCUAGAGUUCGGUAGGGGAGAUCGGAAUUCCUGGUGUAGCGGUGAAAUGCGCAGAUAUCAGGAGGAACACCGGUGGCGAAGGCGGAUCUCUGGGCCGAUACUGACGCUGAGGAGCGAAAGCGUGGGGAGCGAACAGGAUUAGAUACCCUGGUAGUCCACGCCGUAAACGGUGGGCACUAGGUGUGGGCAACAUUCCACGUUGUCCGUGCCGCAGCUAACGCAUUAAGUGCCCCGCCUGGGGAGUACGGCCGCAAGGCUAAAACUCAAAGGAAUUGACGGGGGCCCGCACAAGCGGCGGAGCAUGUGGCUUAAUUCGACGCAACGCGAAGAACCUUACCAAGGCUUGACAUACACCGGAAAACCCUGGAGACAGGGUCCCCCUUGUGGUCGGUGUACAGGUGGUGCAUGGCUGUCGUCAGCUCGUGUCGUGAGAUGUUGGGUUAAGUCCCGCAACGAGCGCAACCCUUGUCCCGUGUUGCCAGCAGGCCCUUGUGGUGCUGGGGACUCACGGGAGACCGCCGGGGUCAACUCGGAGGAAGGUGGGGACGACGUCAAGUCAUCAUGCCCCUUAUGUCUUGGGCUGCACACGUGCUACAAUGGCCGGUACAAUGAGCUGCGAUACCGCGAGGUGGAGCGAAUCUCAAAAAGCCGGUCUCAGUUCGGAUUGGGGUCUGCAACUCGACCCCAUGAAGUCGGAGUCGCUAGUAAUCGCAGAUCAGCAGGAUGCUCGACGAGGGUAAAUA
rnacentral:rRNA from 1 species